rnacentral:rRNA from 1 species
GACGAACGCUGGCGGCGUGCCUAACACAUGCAAGUCGAACGGGACCGGGGGCAACUCUGGUUCAGUGGCGGACGGGUGCGUAACACGUGAGGAACAUGACCUUGGCGGGGGAGUAGCCGGCCCAACGGCCGGGUAAGUAACCGCGUACGACCACAUGGGGACAUCCCUGAGUGGUGAAAGCAGCAAUGCGCCGAUGGAGUGCCUCGCGGCCUAUCAGCUAGUUGGUGAGGUAACGGCNCACCAAGGCGACGACGGGUAGCUGGUCUGAGAGGAUGGCCAGCCACAUUGGGACUGAGACACGGCCCAGACUCCUACGGGAGGCAGCAGUGGGGAAUAUUGCGCAAUGGACGAAAGUCUGACGCAGCGACGCCGCGUGUGGGAUGACGGUC